rnacentral:rRNA from 1 species
CUACGGGCGGCAGCAGUGAGGAAUUUUGCGCAAUGGGCGAAAGCCUGACGCAGCAACGCCGCGUGAGUGAUGAAGGCUUUCGGGUCGUAAAGCUCUGUCAAGUGGGAAGAACCUGUAAAGUGCCAAUACCACUUUGCACUGACGGUACCACUGAAGGAAGCACCGGCUAACUCCGUGCCAGUAGCCGCGGUAAUACGGGGGGUGCAAGCGUUAUUCGGAAUCAUUGGGCGUAAAGGGCGCGCAGGCGGCCCAGUAAGUCAGAUGUGAAAGCCCGGGGCUCAACCCCGGAAGUGCAUUUGAUACUGUUGGGCUUGAGUAUGGGAGAGGAAAGUGGAAUUCCUGGUGUAGAGGUGAAAUUCGUAGAUAUCAGGAGGAACACCUGUGGCGAAGGCGACUUUCUGGACCAAUACUGACGCUGAGGCGCGAAGGCGUGGGUAGCAAACAGGAUUAGAUACCCCGGUAGUC